UUACUCCUACGGGAGGCAGCAGUAGGGAAUCUUCGCCAAUGGACGAAAGUCUGCCCGAGCAACGCCGCGUGAGUGAAGAAGGUUUUCGGAUCGUAAAACUCUGUUGUUAGAGAAGAACAAGGAUGAGAGUAACUGUCAUCCCUGACGGUUCUACC
rnacentral:rRNA from 1 species